rnacentral:rRNA from 1 species
GGUAUGCACUGGCUUUGCUGGUUCCUCCUUUCUGAAGAACUGUAAUGCCAUUAAUUUGGUGUUGCAGGGAAACAGGACUGUUACUUUGAAAAAAUUAGAGUGUUUAAAGCAGGCUAACGCUUGAAUACAUUAGCAUGGAAUAAUGAAAUAGGACGUUCGAUCCUAUUUUGUUGGUUUCUAGGAUUGACGUAAUGAUUAAUAGGGAUAGUUGGGGGCAUUAGUAUUCAAUUGUCAGAGGUGAAAUUCUUGGAUUUAUUGAAGACUAACUACUGCGAAAGCAUUUGCCAAGGAUGUUUUCAUUAAUCAAGAACGAAAGUUAGGGGAUCGAAGACGAUCAGAUACCGUCGUAGUCUUAACCAUAAACUAUGCCGACUAGGGAUCGGAUGAUGUUAAUUUUUUAAUGACUCAUUCGGCGCCUUACG